CCCGGCUGCCUACGUCUUUACCCUGGAGUUCAUCGAGCUGUUUCUUCCCUCUGCUUUUUCUUUGUUAGAGGAUGAGAUUUUCCAAGCAGCAGGACUGUUGUUCUGAACAGUAACGUUGCCUGGGAAUUGGCCACGGGGACGGUUUUCCCUGAGCAGGUUUAGGUUGGCAGGUUGCUCUCUUUAGCCUCCCGGCACCUGGACUCCCUCAGGAACAUCUGCCGCAGGAGCUGAAUUCAGCGCUUGCCAAGGGCCCCAGAGUCACCCAGGGGAUGAAAAGCCCACACUAAAUACACUGCUGAGGAAAACACCAAACACCGAGUCACCAUCCAGACACAGGAACAUGCACAGCAACCCAUGGGCCAAGGCACUCAUCGUGCUGCAUUCUGUGCUUUGAUGGUCAGGGUCUGAAGGGUCAAAUACAACCGACACGUGUGAUCACAUUCGUCCUGGGCCAGAGAGUUGUCCCUGACCUCAGGAUUUAUGGACCUGACAUCUUCAACACCUGCAGAGAGUCCACAACCGUACUGGCUUCUCCAGUUCCUGAAUUCCAACCCAUCCACAACGAAGGAGCCUGCACUAGACUCCAUGUCCUGAACCUUGUGCAGCUGAACUACUGCCGUGCCACCAUCAAGGUCUGAAAAUCUCACCUUUCUGGAACCACGUACAGAUGCCCGAUCGCUGCUGCACAAAGCCAACCCCCAUGCUGUUCUUCCCUGACAUCUCCUCUGCCAGGAGUUCCCUUCCUGAUGAUUCUAAUGCUGAAACAGGUCAAUUGUUGACCACAACUUUCAAUAAAGCGCCUUAGCAUGGAUUAA